rnacentral:rRNA from 1 species
CAUGUCUUUAUGCUUAUAAUUUAAAGUUUAACCUGCUCAAUGAUUUAUUAAAUAGCUGCGGUAUUUUGACUGUACAAAGGUAGCGUGAUAAUUAGUUUUUUAAUUGAAAGCUGGAAUGAAUGGUUGGACGAGAAAAUUACUGUCUUACGGUUAUAUUUUGAAUUUUAUUUUAAAGUUAAAAAGCUUUAAUAAUUUUAGGGGACGAGAAGACCCUAUAGAGUUUUACUUUUUAGAUAGAUUGUUUUUAGGAUUAAUUGAAUCAGGAAGUUUGGUUGGGGUGAUUAAAAGAUUAAUUAAAUUCUUUAGGAUUAAACAGUGAUUUCUGUAAUUAGGUGUGAACUAUAAUUUUAAUUUAAAGACUAAAUUACCUUAGGGAUAACAGCGUAAUUUUUUAUUAAGUUCUUAUUUAUAUAAAAGGUUGCGACCUCGAUGUUGGAUUAAAAUUUAAUUUAGGUGUAGGUGCUUGAAUAUUGAGUCUGUUCGACUUUUGAAAUUUUACAUGAUCUGAGU